rnacentral:rRNA from 1 species
GACGAACGCUGGCGGCGUGCUUAACACAUGCAAGUCGAACGAUGAAGCCGGAGCUUGCUCUGGUGAAUUAGUGGCGAACGGGUGAGUAACACGUGAGUAACCUGCCCUUGACUUUGGGAUAACUGCGGGAAACUGUAGCUAAUACCGGAUACGACCCUCGGAGGCAUCUCCUGGGGGUGGAAAGAAUUUCGGUCAAGGAUGGACUCGCGGCCUAUCAGCUAGUUGGUGAGGUAACGGCUCACCAAGGCGACGACGGGUAGCCGGCCUGAGAGGGUGACCGGCCACACUGGGACUGAGACACGGCCCAGACUCCUACGGGAGGCAGCAGUGGGGAAUAUUGCACAAUGGGCGCAAGCCUGAUGCAGCAACGCCGCGUGAGGGAUGAUGGCCUUCGGGUUGUAAACCUCUUUUAGCAGGGAAGAAGCGAAAGUGACGGUACCUGCAGAAAAAGCACCGGCUAACUACGUGCCAGCCGCCGCAGUAA